rnacentral:rRNA from 1 species
GGAACACAGGUGCUAAUNCCGUAUCACAAUGGAAACCGCCUGGUUUUGAUUUGAAAGGCGCUUUCGGGUGUCGCUGAUGGAUGGACCCGCGGCGCAUUAGCUAGUUGGUGAGGUAACGGCUCACCAAGGCCACGAUGCAUAGCCGACCUGAGAGGGUGAUCGCCCACAUUGGGAGUGAGACACGGCCCAAACUCCUACGGGAGGCAGCAGUAGGGAAUCUUCGGCAAUGGACGAAAGUCUGACCGAGCAACGCCGCGUGAGUGAAGAAGGUUUUCGGAUCGUAAAACUCUGUUGUUAGAGAAGAACAAGGAUGAGAGUAUCUGUUCAUCCCUUGACGGUAUCUAACCAGAAAGCCACGGCUAACUA